rnacentral:lncRNA from 1 species
UGAGAAGCUGCGAAGAUGGCGGAGUAAGGCGUGCCGCUGCAAACUGGCCUCUGGGCCGGGGGCGAGCAGCCCCCGGGAGGCCGAGUGCAUCUGUUGGACCGUGCGAGGUGAGCCGAGAAGGCCAGUGACGGUGGGACGAGCAGGCGCCGAGGAGGUGGCGUGGCCCAGACGGGCCGGGAGAAGAAAAAAAAUAUCGGCCAGAGGAGAGGAACUAACCGAACAUUCUUCCUCCCUACCUUAUAGAGGGGAGUGGUCAUCUACACUAAAGCAAAGUGUUAGGCGCGUCCGUGCGAAGAGACCACCAAACAGGCUUUGUGUUCCUUAUCACAGGAAGAAAAUUUUCCUUGACCUUUAGGUGCUUUUAUAUUCAUCUCAAAAACAAAAUUCUGAACUCAGGACUUGGCAAACGGAGUCACGUUCUGUUGCCUGGGCUGGAGUGCACUGAUGCAAUCUUGGCUCACUGAAAUCUCUGCCUCCCAGGUUCAAGCGAUUCUCCUGCCUCGGCUUCCUGAGUAGCUGGGACUACAGGCACCCGUUACCACGCCCAGCUAAUUUUUGUAUCUUUAGUAGAGACGGGGUUUCACCAUGUUGGCCAGGCUGGUCUUGAACUCCGGACCUGGUGAUCCACCCACUUCGGCUUCCCGAAGUGCUGGGUUUACAGAUGUGUCUCUAUGUUGUCUCCUAGAGUGGGUAGUCCUGCUUCUUUUACCCAGUUACUUUCCCGUUUUUGAAAUGUGGCUAUCACUUCUCUACACAUUACCUCCAUGAUUUGGAAUGGAAAAGGCCACUUUUCUUUUUGUUCUGCCUCUCAAAUUCAACACAGAGGAGCUCCUAGGAUUCCAGUUAUCCUGCUAACAUCUCCAGGAAGAAAGAAGCAACUCACAUGGGUCUUUUGCUGUUUGCUUAAUUAUAAAGACAUCAUUUUGCAAGCAGAAGGCUGAGUUUCAUUUGAAACAGGUGCUUAGGUGGUGGUAUUUGUGAAUACUUUUCAUUCCAAGCAAGAAGACUAAAGAAGUAGCAAGUAUGAAUGACUUCAGGGUUUAAAAAAAAUGUCUUCCAGUUUCAGCCACUACCAUGAUAAGCACAGUUGAGACUGCAGCAGUAAAUUCCAAAUAUGUGUUUCUAAUUUGACGUGAAAGAUACUAAAAAUUUAUAUUUGUAUAUUUAAAUCCUGGCUCAUCCUGUGACAUAGAUUUACUGAAUAGGAACAAAGGCCCAAUUUUAAACAAAAACCUAGGCCGGGUGUGGUGGCUCACACCUGUAAUCCCAACACUUUGGGAGGCCAAGGCAGGCAAAUCACCUGAGGUUGGGAGUUUGAGACCAGCCUGACCAACAUGGAGAAACCCCAUCUCUACUAAAAAUAGAAAAUUAGCCAGGUGUGGUGGUAGAUACGUGUAAUCCCAGCUACUCGUGAGGCUGAGGCAGGAGAAUUGCUUGAAUCCGGGAGGCGGAGGUUGCAGUGAACUGAGAUUGCACCACUGCACUCCAGCCUGGGCGACAGAGUGAGACUCCGUCUCAGAAAAAUAAAAAACAACUUUGGACAUAGAGGAGUUGGGGGCAGAGGGGGGAGGAUGAGAGAAUUUUCCAUGUAACUCCUUUUCCUUAAGAAAAAGAAGCAAAAAUCCCUCAUGCAGUGCCAUCUGACUUUAUGGUGUUUCACAUUAUAUAGUUACUUUUUUUAAUAAACGCAUAAGAUUAACUCUUCCUGCAACCCAAGGUGGAUACUUGGAUGUUUGAUUUUUAUUUAUUUAUUUAUUUAUUUUUUGAGGCAGUCUCUCUCUGUUGCCCAGGCUGGAGUGAUGCGUGAUUUCUGCUCACUGCAGUCUCUCCCACCCGGGUUCAAGCGAUUCUCCUGCCUCAGCCUCCCAAGUAGCUAGGAUUACAGGCGCGCACCACCACGCUCAGCCUGAUUUCUAGGCUGAAAAGGCUGGGACUCAGGUACUUUCCCCAGUUGGGACUGAACUUUCUCAUCAGAGAAUGGGCCUCAGAAGCAAUGUUCCCAAACUUGUGGUUGGGUCAUCGUGGAAAAGAAACCUCAAAUAAGAAAAAUAAUUACAAUAAGAAAUGGAUUUUCUUUUUUCCCACAACAGUUAUACAUUAUAAAGAACAGACUGUCGUAGAAAACUGUCUUUGCUUCCAAAUCAGCAGAGGACCAUUGUAUGUAUUGUCAGGUCUUUAUAUAAGAGUGAAACCUUUAUUUAUGCUUCUUGUGAGUAGAG